CCUGGUGGCUCAGACGGUAAAGAAUCUGCCUGCAAUGCAGGAGACCAGGGUUCAGUCCCUGCAUCAGGA
rnacentral:tRNA from 1 species